GGGAAACAAACCCUUUUUGCCCACAGUUCCUGGCUGUGAGGCCCCAUGACUCCAAAGCAGCAUUCCUGGGACAUUCCUGGUGCCAUGGUAUGUGCAGAAUUUCCAACAGAGGCUCAUGGCUCCACAUCUCCUUGUGCUCUCCCUGUGGGACUCUGUUAUUUGGGAGAAGCUCCAAGAUGGAGCAGGAGAUUCAUCAUUACCAUUGGUAAUAAUUUAAUAAUUGGUAUUGGUAUUGCCCAUGGUGAUGUCUGUGCAGCUCCUACAGCCCCAGGUGGGUGUGUGCAGGUGCUGAUGAAGGAAAAGCUGUGCUCCUGUCCCUUCUCAGCAAUAUUUACCAGCUUAGCUGGAAAAACAACAAUUUGAAAAAAGUCUCAUGACCAGCCAGACCAGAGAAAAUCAAAUCCAUACUGUGUUGUCCUUGUGCUCUCCAUGGAAAUUGGGCAGCUCUUCACCACACCUGCUCCCUGGAGUUUCCCUUUAGAAGAGUUUUGUGCUUAGGGAACCUCAUGGUAACCUGGGAGAGAGCUUUGGGGUUUUGUUCCCUACAGGAAAGUCUUGGCUUGCAGACUCAGGUGCUGGGAGCAGCAUCAGGGCCAGGGAUGCAAUUGGGAAUACUCAGAUCUGCUUGAGACCACACCAGGAAUGGCAAAAUGAAUUUAACUUGCCUUUCCAUGCCUGAACCUCUUGGGUCACAUUUUCCAAGGUUUCCCUCAACCUGUAAAAGUAAGAUUAUCACUACUUUCUAAUGGAAUCUGUGAUUCCUCUCCAUGUGAACCACCUAGAAACUCAAACUCUACCAUGGUGUUUGAGGAGACUGGGGGUUGUUGGCCAUUGAGCAAAGCACAUCCAACCAGAUUUGCCCUGGAGAGAUGAGGACAAUCAGGGAAUGCUCCAUUUUAUAUCUCUUCACAGCAGCUCUGAGAAGAUCCUGUGCCUCCUUUCAUUUCCUCAGGACACCUGACUGUGCUUUUCCACCCAUCCACGGAUGUCACCUGGAUGUGUCCAUGAACCAGCUCACUCUUGGACCUUCAAAGCUGGCUCAGCAAGGUCCAAAGGGCCCUGUUCCAGCCACACCCCUGUCAGCUCCCUUUCCUUUCCAAGGAUUAGGAUGAGGCAAAUACCUCCAGUCUGCUUUAAUCCUCAGUACCUGAUUCUGCAGGAGGCACACGCAGCACACACACAUCUCAGUAAUAGCCAGGUGAAGAGCAUAAGGCUGGAAGAAGAGGAAAAAUUAAAAAAAAUAAAAAGAAGAAAAGAAAGAAAAAGAGUCUCCAACCCCAGGAAAUCUGUGUUAAUUGCUUAUGAAUGUCUCUGUCUAAAAAAUUAUCGAAUUGAUGUUGUCGUGCUUUUUUUUGACAGCCUGUCUGUUACAUUUUUUUAAAAUAUUCAUGCACCGAAAUCUAAUUACUAGGCAAAUUUAAUGAUAAUGAAAUGAAGGCACUUUAGCAGAAAGCACAGGGCCUUGUUAAUGU
rnacentral:lncRNA from 1 species